CCAAUAGCGUAUAUUAAAGUUGUUGCAGUUAAAAAGCUCGUAGUUGAAUUUCGGGGUCAAUAUAUCGGUCGUGCCAUCGGUACGUACUGGUAUCAUUGAUCUCUCCUUUCUGACGAACCAUGAUGUCAUUAAUUUGGUGUUAUGGGAAGUUAGGACUGUUACUUUGAAAAAAUUAGAGUGUUUAAAGCAGGCUUUAGCUUGAAUACAUUA
rnacentral:rRNA from 1 species